UACAGGGGGUGCAAACGUUGCUCGGAAUCAUUGGGCGUAAAGCGCACGUAGGCGGUUCGUUAUGUCGGAUGUGAAAGCCCUUGGCUUAACCGAGGAAGUGCAUCCGAAACUGGCGAGCUAGAGUACUAAAGAGGAUCGCGGAAUUCCCGGUGUAGAGGUGAAAUUCGUAGAUAUCAGGAGGAACACCGGUGGCGAAGGCGGGUCUCUGGGCCAUAACUGACGCUGAGGAGCGAAAGCGUGGGGAGCGAACAGG
rnacentral:rRNA from 1 species